rnacentral:rRNA from 1 species
CCUACGGGAGGCAGCAGUGGGGAAUAUUGGACAAUGGGGGGAACCCUGAUCCAGCGACGCCGCGUGAGUGAAGAAGUAUUUCGGUAUGUAAAGCUCUAUCAGCAGGGAAGAAAGAAAUGACGGUACCUGACUAAGAAGCCCCGGCUAACUACGUGCCAGCAGCCGCGGGAAUACGUAGGGGGCAAGCGUUAUCCGGAUUUACUGGGUGUAAAGGGAGCGUAGACGGCGAUGCAAGUCUGAAGUGAAAGGCGGGGGCCCAACCCCCGGACUGCUUUGGAAACUGUAUGGCUGGAGUGCAGGAGAGGUAAGUGGAAUUCCUAGUGUAGCGGUGAAAUGCGUAGAUAGUAGGAGGAACACCAGUGGCGAAGGCGGCUUACUGGACUGUAACUGACGUUGAGGCUCGAAAGCGUGGGGAGCAAACAGGAUUAGAUACCCUAGUAGUC